UGCCCGCCAGGGGGGCGAGGGUGGCAGAUGGCUUGACGUGGGUGAGAGUGGGGAGGGAAGGGCCUGUGGGAGGGGGCAGUGACCCUGGGCCCAGCAGGGAGGGAUUCGAGGAAGUGACCUGGGAGGUGGGCCGGGUUCUAUAUCGAGCCCCACAACCCCCUGCUCUUCCUUUCUUGGUUUCUGGGGAUGCCAUUCCAGUAGGGGCAGCCAGCCGUAGCCAGGUUGGGGUAGAGAGUGACCCUGAGGGGGCCUGAGGCCCAGGGCUUCCGCACAGCCUGCCUGGCCCCGCUGGUCCGGCUGUGGGAGGCAGAGCCUGGCUGUGUUUACCCAGGCCGGGCACUUCCGGAGCAGAUGGGCGCCUGUCAGCGCUGCCAGCCAGGAACUGGGCUGACAUCCUCUCAAUGCCAAGUGGCAGUUCUGGAAGCUAGAAUUCCCAAAUCACGGUGCCGGCAGGGUUGCUUCCCGAGACUGUUUCCUGCCUCUCUCUCCGAGCUUCCGGUGGUUGCCAGCAGUCCCAUGGACACAGCCCAUGGACGCAUCACUCCAGUCUCUGCCUCCACCAUCACGUGGUGCUGUCCCCUCUGUGACCUCACUGUCUCUUCUCUUCAUAUAAGGACACCAGUCAUAUUGGAUUAAGGGCCUACCCACUCUGGGUUUUGGAGGCCUUUGGGACAGAGGGAAGACUUUGGACUCCCACUCAGGUUAAAGCCACCACACCAGAGACAUCGUUGAGAGGAGACCCAGAGCCUGAGUUCUCCGAGGACAAACCCUGAGCAGAUAACAGUGGCUUCUUCUGGGGAGGGCUCUAGCACUGGGGGCCUCAGGGGAGGAUUUUCCUUGUUGCUCCCUGUAUUUUGGUAUGAUUUGACCUUUUCUGGUGAGAAUGUACCUAAAUAUUAAUUUUGUAUGAAAUAAAAGUUUUUCAAAGAAA